CGGGCAAGUUGUUUUUGGCUAC
rnacentral:miRNA from 1 species